rnacentral:lncRNA from 1 species
GGAAAAAAAUUUUGCUAAAAUAUAACCACUGGUUAUCUCUGGAAGGGAGGAGUUCAGAUAGUUUGUUUUUUGUUUUUGUUUUGUCAUUUUAGGGCCACACCCCUAACAUAUGAAGGUUCCUGGGCUAGGGGUUGAAUUGGAGCUGGAGCCACUAGCCUACACCACAGCCACAGCAACGAGGGAUCCAAGCCGCAUCUGUGACCUACACCACAGCUCAUGGCAAUGCUGGAUCCUUAACCCACUGAGCAAGGCCAGGGAUCGAACCUGCGUCCUCUUGGAUACUAGUCAGAUUCCUUUCCCCUGAGCCACGAGGGGAACUCCCUCAAGUAGUUCUUAAUUUUCUUUGUAUUUUUCUGUAUUUGCCAGAAUUUGAGGAAUGAACAGUUAUUAUUUUCUAAUAAGAAAAAGGAGUAAGAUUUUUAAAAAAGCUGACAUCACAAAAUAGUGUGGCCUGGAGUAAAGAAUGCUUGGAUUCAGAUACUGGCUCUACCAUUCUAGAGCCUUGUGACCUUGGGGCGGGGGCAGGGGGAGCUGCUUUACUUUUCGCAUAGGAUUCUUUUGAAGAUUAAAUUAGGUAUGACAUAUGUAGGCUAGUUUUUAUAAUGUCUGUAAUGCAUUUGGUGCUUAAUAAACAUUAAUUUCCUUCCUUCUUGUUUUUCUCAUUAAUGACUAUUAUAAUAAACUCUUCCAAACAGAUAGAAAAUACCAUAAAACUAAUAAGAAAAACACAAUUAAAUACUUAGACAGUUGAACACUUGUGGCGUGGUAGUUUCAGAACUAAUUCUGCUACAGGAUAGAAAGUGAGAAUAUUCAUUAGAGCAAAACAAAGAGGUGAGGUAUUUCACUUCUGUUGAUAGGAAGAGGCAGCUAUAAAUCCUCAGUGUUGUUAGUCAGCAAUAACAUUGUGUCCUAAGUAGAGCUUAAAACAUUCUCCACAGGUUCAAUCAGAAUAGUUUUUUGAAGCUGUGUUGUAGAUAAUUUGCUGCUUUUAAUUCAUCAUGGCUGUCAAUAUCAAGAAAUAAAAGUAGUCAGGACUUGAGAAUAAUAAAUCUCAUAUUAGUAAAUCAACAUGUAAAAUGAGAUGCCUUCAUUAAUUUCAGAGGUUAUAUUUCAGUGACAUAAGCUAGUUAGGCAAAAUAGGCACCGACAUAAAAUUCUCAAAGGAUUUAACAGUUGUAUUCUUCUUACAUGCUUGUUAGAUGUACAAUAGAAAACGUAUUUGCUUUCCCCUGUUUUGCCAAGGAAGUGGCACAGACUUAAAGAGGAAGAUUAAUUGAGAUGGGCCAGUGCAGUGGCAAAGUAGGAUCUCAUCCUAGAUACACUGGACUUCUGAAGCACCAACAUUGCUGUCUCUGGUAUUGCUGCAUCUGAUGUCUUCAUAAAAGGAAACAAUUUUUUUUUCUUCUUUUAUGGCUGCACUUGUGGCAUAUGGAUGUUCCUGAACUAGGGGUCAAUUUGGAGCUGCAGUUGCAGGCCUACGCCACAGCCACAGCAACACCAGAUCCCAGCUGCAUUUGCAACCUACUCUUGCAGCUUUUAACAAUGCCGGAUCCUUAACCCACUGAUCGAGGUGAGGGAUUAAAACCUCAUCCUCACGGGUAUUAUGUUGGUUUCUUAACCCACUCAGCCACAGCAGAAACCCCAAGAAAUAGUUUUUACAGACACUAAUUCAAAAAGAUAUAUGCACCCCCGUGUUCAUAACAGCGUUCUGUUUAAUAGCCGAGAUAUAGAAGCAACCCAAGUGUCCAUCAAUAGGUGAAUGGCGAGUUUCUGCUGUGGUGCAGUGGGUUAAGAGUCCAGCUGUAGUCACUUGGGUUGCUGUGGAGAUUCAGAUUCGACCCCUGGCCCGGCACAGUUGGUUAAAAAGAUCGGGCAUUGCUGCAGCUGUGGCAUGGGUCACAGCUAUGACUUGGAUUCAGUUCCUGGCCUAGGAACUUCCAUAUGCCGUGGGUGUGGCCAUAAAAAACAACAACAAAAAAACCCCCCAAAUGAAUGGACAAAGAGAAGCUGUACUGUAUGCAGUGGAUAUAUACAGCCUAUAUAUAUGCCAUGGAAUACUACCCAGCCAUAAAAAAGAAUGAAAUGAUGCUGUUUGCAACAACCGGGAUGGACCUAGAGAAUAUUACACUCAUGAUUUUUUUUGUCUCUCAAGAGCGUCUUUAACCUUGCAGUUGUUUGACUCAUUAUAGGUUACCUAGGGAAUUUUGUGCUAUAUUUAAUGAUUUUUAGAAUGAUUCUCUUGUUUGACUCUGUCCCACGCCCCCUUUUUUUUUCUUUUCAGGGCUGCACCCGUGGCAUAGGGGAGUUCCCAGGCUAGGGGUUUAACUGGAGCUGUAGCUGCCGACCUACGCCACAGCCACACCACCAGAUCUGAGCUGUGUCUGCAGCCUACACCACAGCUCACAGCAACGCUGGACCCUUAACCCACUGAGUGAGGCCAGGGAUCGAAUCUGCAACCUCAUGGAUAUUAGUCUGGUUUGUAACCCUCUGAGUCACAGUGGGAACUCCUGACUCUGUCCCUUAUCUUAAUAGAGUCCUAUUAAUUUCCUUACCUAACUCAGUGUACUGUCCUCCACAUCAUUUGUUGUCAGAGCUGCUAAGGAACUGACAGAGAAAGUGGACUCCAGACUCCAGGACAGCAGAAACCAUGUCAGCUUUAUCCAGUAUAGACUGUGUCUUGCACAGCAGCUGGUAUGCAGUAGGCACACAGUAAAGCAGUCCAUGAGGGUGUGUAUAAGCAUAGAUAGAGCAGAAGAGACCUUGGGGUCAUAGUUGACUAGAGCCUGAGUCAUCAGCAUAUUGCUGGGGGGAGUGAGGCACAAGAAGAGGAGAGGGAAGAUUCAGCCAGGUUUUUGGAGGUGUGUGGAGAAACGAGGAAUAGUAGUAUUUUUGAAGAUUUAUAAUCUAGGCACUGUGCUAUCGGGUUUAUAUUUUGCAUCUUAUUUAAUCUGUUGAGUAUUGUGGACCAAAAAAUGUUGCCUGCCAUUCCAGUAAACAGUGAAUGUUGCCUCCAUAAGCCUCUGCAGCCUCCCUGAUGAUGUGCUCCAAGGGCAAUUCCAGAUGGAGAAAAACAGAAUUAAGAAAUUAUUUCUAUGAGCCCAGACUCUGGCACCUUCCAUUACAAAGAAAAGCACUAAAAUCAUCAACUUUUGAGACGUCUGUUUUUGUGUGAUUAGCAGUAAUCUUUUCUUUUUUUUCUUUCUUUUUUUUUUUUUUUUUUUUUUGGCUGCCCCUUGGCAUAUGGAGUUUCCAAGCUGUAGUUGCAGCCGAUGCCGCAGGUGCGGCAAUGCCGGAUCCUUAACCCACUGUGCUGGGCCAGGGAUUGAACCUGUGUGCCAGUGCUCCCAAGGUGCAGCCGAUCCUGUCGUGUCAUGGUGGGAACUCCAGUAGUAAUCCUUGGAUGUUUCACUACAUGGUUUUUAUUGUCCCAGCCAAAACUAUAUACCUGGCUCUUCUCUUACCUCUUGUGAGCAGUUUCUCAGAGCUAUAUGAGAGGCUGUCUGUUGAUCAGGUUAUGGUCCUCAGUAAGGUCCCUGAAUAAAACAACCUGCAACUUUUAGGUCGUGUGUUUUUCUUUGGUUGACGGUGCAAACAACAGCAGCCCAACAAAAGAAAUGAUGGAAAGGCAGGAAAAUGUUUUGAUUGGCCUACAUAAGAGGAUGCUAGCAAUGACUUCAUGUAUGGCACUACUUAGAAAGUUGGUUUGUACAGGAGUUGUUGAGGUGUUGGUGGAACAUGGUAGAAUCAUUUUCAGUUAGAUUUUGGUUAGGGGUAAAUUUAAAAAUUGCAAAUAAUACUAUAAUCAAAAUAAUGACAGCUGAGACAGAAGUAAAAACAUGUUGGAUCUCAUCCUAAGAAGUCAUUUGUCUUGUAAAAUAACUGUCAGGUGGAUACUGUGGAAUGUUAGGCUUACACAGACUCUAGAAAGAAGAAUGUCUAGAGGUAAAUUUAAAAAAUUGAUGGUUAGAUAAGCUGCCUGAGAUAAGCUUUCAGAGUUUUCUUUCAGUUGGAUUCUGUGACUUGAUCAUAUUGGAAGUAAAUAAUUUUGAGGGAAGAUGUCUAAUUUUUUUUUCAUUUGCCUUUUAUUAAAUUUAGGGAUAAUUUAAAGUGAAGAUAGAAUAAGUGAUUAAAAAGAAAAUUUCCAUUGUCAAUUUAAUUUGAGGGAGCUGUAGAGGAACCAGUCCUUUGCAUUCCCCUCCCACAAAUACUUCGAGUUUUCUGCUAAGUUAUUAGUAGGUACUAAUUUGAAAACUUGUGAGUCUUUCCCUGUUAUGUUGCUGCAGCAGCUUUUAUCUUUCAGAAAGCCUUUUUACUAAAAUGCAAAGGCUGUGCUUAUAUUACAAACUUCGCAGUGUUUUCGUGUGUUAAAAAUGACCUUCACAAGAUGGAUGGAAACUUGCUGAUCAUACCUUUUAUUUAUUGUAAAAGAAAGUCUUUUUCUUCCUUUAAUGUACAAUUGGAAGAUGAAAUGAAUUGAUUUUUUUAAAGAUAAACUUCUUUGAAGGCAUGUUAAUAAAAUUUGGUGCAUCUUUCUUCUGGAGGAAAUAUUGUCAAAAUAGUUGUAUUUUACUCCUCUUUUGAUGUCUGUUGUUUAUGAGGUCGCUUUAAAAUCCUUGAGCAAAUCUUACAGGUUACUUUGAAGUCUUGAAUGCUUGAGAAGAUAAACCAAUGAAUGAACUUAAUCAGUUAAAAAUCUUACUGCUGGCAGCUUGCCUCAUAUCCAGCUUUGAAUGAUGAAUGGAAUUAGGUCUGCACAUCGUUUACGUUGUUAGUGUACAAACACCCUUGGUCUUUAACCAUGGGUUGUUUACGUGGGAGUGUGAUAAUUUUCUACUCACUUCAGAGGAUUGUGGAAAAAGUACUUUAUUGCUAUUUUUAAUCUUUUUAAUAUACAUAAACCAUUUGCUGAAUGCAAAACACCGCUGGGCCCAUAGGGAAUGAUUGGUACGUAGCAUAUCAGUGUGUUUACAGUAGAGUGUGGAAGGUGGACCUGAUUGAGGAAAAAAAGAGGGGCACUGCCAGGGGGAAAUGCUUCCUUUGAGCUGAAAAUAAAGGCAGUCACCAAGUUUCAAACUGAAGCAUUGCUGUUAUGAUGUGACUCUUCUCUUAAAAGACCCAUUUUAGUAGCAUUGUCAGUGGUAGACAUGAACCUGAGAGGAGAACAGGCUGAAGGAUGAGAUUCUUUAAAUCCCAUCCCGUGUUAUGAUUGAUCACUCUGAGCAUUAGUUUGAAAUGCUUACAGAGACAGAGGGUUGAUUUAGAAAUUACUAGAAUGGCUCAGACCAAGAGUUUAAUCUCAGUAUUUGAUUGCCACUAGUGACCUACAUUUAAAAAUAGUUCUGCUGUUAUGGGACAGUGUGAUUUUCAUCUCCAGUAGUUCCUUAAAGGUUAAGUUUUGCCCUGUUUCUUUGAGCAGUGAUUUGUAGUUUUGUCUCAUUUUUUUUUUUCCCAGUACCUUUUGGGUUUAUUUUAUACCUCUGUUUAUUGCAUUUUGAGGCAUUGGUUUUUAUAAUUUUAUUUCAUACUAUAGAAAGUAGAACUUAUGCCUUUUUCUUAUUUAUCUUAUUCAUCAUCAAAGGAUCCUACCAGUUUGAUGGUUUUGGAUUUAAUGAGUUCAAAUCUGUGUAUUAUUUAUGCUUUUAUAGAUUGUUUUUUCCCAACCAUUACCUUUUCUUUUUUAUUUUUUUGUCUUUUGUCUUUGUAGGGCUGUACCCCCAGCAUAUGGAGUUUCCCAGGCUAGGGGUCCAGUCAGAGCUACAGCUGCUGGCCUACACCACAGCCACAGCAACGCUAAAUCCGAGCCGCAUCUGUGACCUACACCACAGCUCAUGGCAACACCAGAUCCUUAACCCACUGAGCAAGGCCAGGGAUUGAACCCGCAACCUCGUGGUUCCUAGCCGGAUUCAUUUCCGCUGUGCCAUGAUGGGAACUCCCCAACCAUUCAUUACCUUUUCUAACUGUCAACUUUCUUUUUUGGAUUCCUUUUAUUUGAUUAUGCCUUAGUUGAAUUUCUUUGACCCUUCAUUAGUUCUUUCACAUUUGGGUGUUUCUCUGUGUGAAAUAUAAAUAGUUCCAUAUAUUCAAUAUUUUGUAAUAACCUAGAAGGGAAAAGAUUCUGAAAAAGGCUAUCUGUAUCUAUCUGUAUACCUAUAUGCAUAUGUAUCUAUGACUGAAUCACUGUGCUGUACACCUGAGACUAACACAUAUUGUAAAUCAGCUAUACUUCAAUAACACACACACACUUCCAACUGGAAUCAGUACUAAAGCGGACUUUAAAUCAGUUUCUGACUCAUGAACCAACUCACCCAAGCUCGAGUUGACUUUGACGUUUAAAAAACUGUGAUCCCUUUGAAGGCAGGGAUUGUAUUUAUCGAUUUAUGACCAGAGACCAAUAUAGUACCUGAUCUUGGUGGGCUGUCAAUAAAGGUUUGUUGAGUAAAUGAAUUCAUGGAAUAUUGUCAAAGGUUUAGUGAAUAUUUAAGUAGAUUAAGAGCUUGAUUUCAUUUUAUUUAUGUAAAUACUGUGAAAUGACUCCCAGUAAAUUAUUCAAGCAUACUAUCUCUUAAAACAUUUAUGACAGUAGCAGUAACUACUCCGAAACACUGGUCUUAAGCCUUUAGAGUACUAUUAUUUGAAAUCAGAAUUAAUGCGUAUCAUCCUUUGCCUGCUUGAACUGUGAGAAUGGUAAAGUAGUGGUGAUAUACUAGGCUGACAAGGAAGCAGUAACUGUUAUCCUCAUCCAUUAAUAGUGGUUUAUAAAAUGGCUAAUCCUUUUAGAAAAUAUUUUAAAAGUAUGGGAACUAUCAAAAUGUCUAUAUUAUUUGACUCAGUAUUAUAAUAUUUAGAGUCUAAUAAAGUAGUCCAAAAUAAGGAACCAGCUAUGUUUAGAAAGAUGUUAAUUGUAGAAUUAUUUAUUCAGUUGAAUUAUAUAGAGUUAAACCUUGAGUAAAUUAAUUAUGCCUCUGCCUCAAUUUUCUUAGCUACAGAAUGGAGAUAAUAGUACCUUUAUGAAAUUAUAUUAGCGUAGUAUCUGGCAUAUAUAAAGCACUCAAAUUUGGCUGCCACCGCUAUUGUGUUUUAUUAUUAUUGACACAUAGGCCUCUCAUUUUCUGGAGGCUUUGUUUUUGGCCAUGGCAUGCAGCAGCUUGAUGUGAGAGUUCCCAGACCAUGGAUCGAACCUGGACUACAGCAGUGGAAGUGCCAAAUCCUAACCACUGGGCCACCAGGAAGCUCGCUCCUGGAGACUUUUAUGUAAUUGUCCUGGGCAUUAUGUUAGGUGCAUGGGAGAAAAGUAAUUAAAAGUUGUGGUUCUUAUUUAUAGGGAACGUAAAAUUCAUUUGGUGGUAGAUAGGUUUAUAAAUUUUAAUUACAGAUCAGUUAUGUGUUAAGUGACACAAGGAAGUUACAAAAUGCUGUGAGAGCUCUAGUACAGGAAAGAUUGCAGAUUACUUUGGAUUUGUAAAGGUGGAGAGGUGACAUUUUCAUCAAGCUUUGAAGGAUAAAUAGAAUUUUUAGAAGUAAAACAAUGAGAGAGGGUAUUUCAUGAGGCAUAGGAGCAAAGACACAGGAGCAGGAAAAUAAAGCAUAGAUGAAGCGAAGUAGAGUUAUGGGAGAUAAGGCUGAGGAGAUGGGAAGGAGUACCCAUGAUGGAAUGGUUUGAAAGCCAAGCUGAAGAGUUUUUAUUUUUUUUACAUGAGACUGGUAAGUGAUGGCUUUUGUAACCUGAUUAGAGCAUGGUUUUAGGAAGAUUGAAUAAUUGCAAAAUGGUUUGCUAGAGGUAGAAGAGAUGGGAAAGUGGGAAGGCUAGUUUUUUCAUUUAUUCAUUCAUCAAAAAACAUUUGUUGCUCACUCAUGCGCCAUGUUUUAUGCUUUGUAUUGAGGAUAGUAAACUUUAUCAUAUUUACUUGAUCUAUGUUAAUGGUAUUUCAGAACAUAGGUUAAUGGAGACUGAAACUAGCGUAGUGUUUGUAGGAACGAAAGGUAGAUUAGAAGUCAAAUGCAUUAUAGAGGUGACAUGUCAGGCUGGUAAUUUUGUGUACGGAAUGAGGGAGAGGUACAAGUUAAAGACAGCUUUUCAGUUUUAAACCUGAAGAACUUGGGGACUUGGUACACUUCUUAUUCCUAAUGCACAUUGGAAAACAAAGAGGGUAAGCUAGUGGGAUAUUUUAUAUUUGAUUUAUUUCAAGUUGCCAAUGGAAAAUUAAAUUAAUUCUCUUUAGGAGGCAGUUAUCAGUGGGGAAUUGGGACUUGGGGAGUCGGGACUAGGGGUGGCCAGGCAUGUUAACAAUAUAGAUUUGUGGAGUUCCUGUCGUGGCUCAGUGGCUAACAAACCCGACUAGCAUCCAUGAGGACAUGCGUUCAAUCCCUGGCCUCACUCAGUUGGUUGGGGAUCUGGCAUUGCUGUGAGCUCUGGUGUAGGUCACAGACGCUGCUUGGAUCCUGCGUUGCUGUGGCUUGUGGUGUAGGCCCGCAGCUACAUCGCAAUUCAACCCCUAGCCUGGGAACCUCCACAUGCCGCAGGUGCGGCCCUCAAAAGACAAAAAAAAAAAAAAA